rnacentral:rRNA from 1 species
CGGGGUGCAGCAGGCGCGAAAACUUUACAAUGCUGGAAACAGCGAUAAGGGGACCUCGAGUGCCAGGUUACAAAUCUGGCUGUCGUGAUGCCUAAAAAGCAUUGCACAGCAAGGGCCGGGCAAGACCGGUGCCAGCCGCCGCGGUAACACCGGCGGCUCGAGUGGUAACCGUUAUUAUUGGGUCUAAAGGGUCUGUAGCCGGCCGGAUAAGUCUCUUGGGAAAUCCAGCAGCUCAACUGUUGGGCUUUCAGGAGAUACUGUCUGGCUCGAGGCCGGGAGAGGUGAGAGGUACUUCAGGGGUAGGGGUGAAAUCUUGUAAUCCUUGAAGGACCACCAGUGGCGAAGGCGUCUCACCAGAACGGACCUGACGGCAAGGGACGAAAGCUAGGGGCACGAACCGGAUUAGAUACCCGGGUAGUCCUAGCCGUAAACGAUACUCGCUAGGUGUCGGCCACGGUGCGACCGUUGUCGGUGCCGUAGGGAAGCCGUGAAGCGAGCCACCUGGGAAGUACGGCCGCAAGGCUGAAACUUAAAGGAAUUGGCGGGGGAGCAC